rnacentral:rRNA from 1 species
GACGUAGGGGGCCAGCGUUGUUCGGAAUUACUGGGUGUAAAGGGUUCGUAGGCGGUGCGGCAAGUUGGGAGUGAAAUCUCUGGGCUUAACCCAGAGGCUGCUUCCGAAACUGCUGUGCUUGAGUGUGGGAGAGGCGCGUGGAAUUGCAGGUGUAGCGGUGAAAUGCGUAGAUAUCUGCAGGAACACCCGUGGCGAAAGCGGCGCGCUGGACACUACUGACGCUGAGGAACGAAAGCUAGGGGGAGCAAACAGG